CAUACUGCCGUGAAUACGUUCCCGGGCCUUGUACAUACCGCCCGUCACACCAUGAGAGUUGGGGAUACCCGAAGCCUGUGAGCUAACUUUUAGAGGCAGCAGUCGAAGGUAGAAUCAAUGAUUGGGGUGAAGUCGUAACAAGGUAAC
rnacentral:rRNA from 1 species